rnacentral:rRNA from 1 species
GUGAUGACGAGGCACUACGGUGCUGAAGUGACAAAUGCCCUGCUUCCAGGAAAAGCCUCUAAGCAUCAGGUAACAUCAAAUCGUACCCCAAACCGACACAGGUGGUCAGGUAGAGAAUACCAAGGCGCUUGAGAGAACUCGGGUGAAGGAACUAGGCAAAAUGGUGCCGUAACUUCGGGAGAAGGCACGCUGAUAUGUAGGUGAAGCGACUUGCUCGUGGAGCUGAAAUCAGUCGAAGAUACCAGCUGGCUGCAACUGUUUAUUAAAAACACAGCACUGUGCAAACACGAAAGUGGACGUAUACGGUGUGACGCCUGCCCGGUGCCGGAAGGUUAAUUGAUGGGGUUAGCGGUAACGCGAAGCUCUUGAUCGAAGCCCCGGUAAACGGCGGCCGUAACUAUAACGGUCCUAAGGUAGCGAAAUUCCUUGUCGGGUAAGUUCCGACCUGCACGAAUGGCGUAAUGAUGGCCAGGCUGUCUCCACCCGAGACUCAGUGAAAUUGAACUCGCUGUGAAGAUGCAGUGUACCCGCGGCAAGACGGAAAGACCCCGUGAACCUUUACUAUAGCUUGACACUGAACAUUGAGCCUUGAUGUGUAGGAUAGGUGGGAGGCUUUGAAGUGUGGACGCCAGUCUGCAUGGAGCCGACCUUGAAAUACCACCCUUUAAUGUUUGAUGUUCUAACGUUGGCCCGUAAUCCGGGUUGCGGACAGUGUCUGGUGGGUAGUUUGACUGGGGCGGUCUCCUCCUAAAGAGUAACGGAGGAGCACGAAGGUUGGCUAAUCCUGGUCGGACAUCAGGAGGUUAGUGCAAUGGCAUAAGCCAGCUUGACUGCGAGCGUGACGGCGCGAGCAGGUGCGAAAGCAGGUCAUAGUGAUCCGGUGGUUCUGAAUGGAAGGGCCAUCGCUCAACGGAUAAAAGGUACUCCGGGGAUAACAGGCUGAUACCGCCCAAGAGUUCAUAUCGACGGCGGUGUUUGGCACCUCGAUGUCGGCUCAUCACAUCCUGGGGCUGAAGUAGGUCCCAAGGGUAUGGCUGUUCGCCAUUUAAAGUGGUACGCGAGCUGGGUUUAGAACGUCGUGAGACAGUUCGGUCCCUAUCUGCCGUGGGCGCUGGAGAACUGAGGGGGGCUGCUCCUAGUACGAGAGGACCGGAGUGGACGCAUCACUGGUGUUCGGGUUGUCAUGCCAAUGGCACUGCCCGGUAGCUAAAUGCGGAAGAGAUAAGUGCUGAAAGCAUCUAAGCACGAAACUUGCCCCGAGAUGAGUUCUCCCUGAGACUUAGAGUCUCCUGAAGGAACGUUGAAGACGACGACGUUGAUAGGCCGGGUGUGUAAGCGCAGCGAUGCGUUGAGCUAACCGGUACUAAUGAACCGUGAGGCUUAACCUUACAACGCCGAAG